rnacentral:tRNA from 1 species
UUACUGGUAGGUUAUUUAAACUGGCAAAUUGUGGUUUUGUUGAUUACUUUUUUGUUUUUUGUAUCAGUAAA